GGAGGAUCCGAGCGUUAUCCGGAUUUAUUGGGUUUAAAGGGAGCGUAGAUGGAUGUUUAAGUCAGUUGUGAAAGUUUGCGGCUCAACCGUAAAAUUGCAGUUGAUACUGGAUAUCUUGAGUGCAGUUGAGGCAGGCGGAAUUCGUGGUGUAGCGGUGAAAUGCUUAGAUAUCACGAAGAACUCCGAUUGCGAAGGCAGCCUGCUAAGCUGCAACUGACAUUGAGGCUCGAAAGUGUGGGUAUCAAACAGGAUUAGAUACCCUGGUAGUCCACACGGUAAACGAUGAAUACUCGCUGUUUGCGAUAUACUGCAAGCGGCCAAGCGAAAGCGUUAAGUAUUCCACCUGGGGAGU
rnacentral:rRNA from 1 species